rnacentral:rRNA from 1 species
GAGUUUGAUCAUGGCUCAGGAUGAACGCUGGCGGCGUGCCUAAUACAUGCAAGUCGAGCGAACGGACGAGAAGCUUGCUUCUCUGAUGUUAGCGGCGGACGGGUGAGUAACACGUGGGUAACCUACCUAUAAGACUGGGAUAACUCCGGGAAACCGGGGCUAAUACCGGAUAACACAUGAAACCGCAUGGUUUCAUGAUGAAAGACGGUCUUGCUGUCACUUAUAGAUGGAUCCGCGCUGCAUUAGCUAGUUGGUAAGGUAACGGCUUACCAAGGCAACGAUGCAUAGCCGACCUGAGAGGGUGAUCGGCCACACUGGAACUGAGACACGGUCCAGACUCCUACGGGAGGCAGCAGUAGGGAAUCUUCCGCAAUGGGCGAAAGCCUGACGGAGCAACGCCGCGUGAGUGAUGAAGGUCUUCGGAUCGUAAAACUCUGUUAUUAGGGAAGAACAUAUGUGUAAGUAACUGUGCACAUCUUGACGGUACCUAAUCAGAAAGCCACGGCUAAACG